UUCAUCGAGAGUAUAUUUAGCCGCAUCAAACUGGUAUCUUGGUAGAAUCUUUUAACGUAAGCCUCGAGAACAGAACUCGAAUUUUUGCAGAUUCAAGAGGCUCAGUGAGUCGAACUCAAAAACCAUUCUAGAAAACCAAAACUGGCGGCCGAGUUGAAGUACGAGAUCUCUCAGAACGCUUAUAUGAAGCUGGUUCUACACGCUCUGAAGCACAAGAGCACGGCGGUCAAUGGUAUAUUACUCGGCCGAGUCAACCCACAAAAUGAAAAUGUCUUUGAGAUCGUUGACUCGGUCCUUCUCUUCCACUCUAAUAUUGCUUUACUGCCUCCUCUCGAGAUCGCCCUCACCAUGGGCUAGGCAUUUGGCAAAGAACAUCAGUAAUCAUGUUUUCCGGUACUUUCCUCAGGCUGCCGUUCUUUUGGUAUAUGUUAAAAUUGGAUAUAUUGUUAUAUACUUAUAUAUGCUGCUUUGUUUGUUAUGGUUGGUCUCAAUUGUUUCCUGUUUUUUGGGUUUCGUCUUCUGUAGUUAGAUAACAAAAAGCUUGAAGCUGUGCCCAAGGGAAAAGGUCAGAAUCCCAUGAUGCAGUUUCGUGUUCACUCGGUGUUUUAAGUGUUGCCUUUUGGUUUUUUUCCAUUCAUAUGUGGGUUUCUGAAGUAUUCCCGUUUUCCAUUAAUUUUAAGAAACAAAUUUCGUGGAUGUGGAAUUGUCCGGAGACAUUCCCCCCCAUGUGUUGUGUCUCUGGAUAUCUUAUAGGUGACUUAUAUUAGCUGUUCCUUUGUGUGUGGACUUUCAACUUUGCUUUAAAUGUCUUUGGAGACCAUCAGAUUUUGUGAUGUAUUUACGGGGUAUAUUACCUCCUGUGCUACUGCAAAUGUUUAACCCAGAUCACAUUUUUCGAA